rnacentral:rRNA from 1 species
UACGUAGGGUGCGAGCGUUGUCCGGAAUUAUUGGGCGUAAAGAGCUUGUAGGCGGUCUGUCGCGUCUGCCGUGAAAAUCCGGGGCUCAACCCCGGACUUGCAGUGGGUACGGGCAGACUAGAGUGUGGUAGGGGAGACUGGAAUUCCUGGUGUAGCGGUGAAAUGCGCAGAUAUCAGGAGGAACACCGAUGGCGAAGGCAGCUCGCUGGGACGGUACUGACGCUGAGGCGCGAAAGCGUGGGGAGCGAACAGG